rnacentral:misc_RNA from 1 species
GAUGAAGAACGUAGCGAAAUGCGAUACGUAGUGUGAAUUGCAGAAUUCAGUGAAUCAUCGAAUCUUUGAACGCACAUUGCGCCCUUUGGUAUUCCAAAGGGCAUGCCUGUUCGAGCGUCAUUUGUACCCUCAAGCUUUGCUUGGUGUUGGGCGUCUUGUCUCCAGUCCGCUGGAGACUCGCCUUAAAGUCAUUGGCAGCCGGCCUACUGGUUUCGGAGCGCAGCACAAGUCGCACUCUUUUCCAGCCAAGGUCAGUGUCCAACAAGCCUUUUUUCAACUUUUGACCUCGGAUCAGGUAGGGAUACCCGCUGAACUUAAGCAUAUCAAUAAGCGAGGA